rnacentral:rRNA from 1 species
UACGGAGGGUGCGAGCGUUAUCCGGAUUCACUGGGUUUAAAGGGUGCGUAGGUGGGAAUGUAAGUCAGUGGUGAAAUCUCUGAGCUUAACUCAGAAACUGCCAUUGAUACUAUGUUUCUUGAAUUUUCUGGAGGUCAGCGGAAUAUGUCAUGUAGCGGUGAAAUGCUUAGAUAUGACAUAGAACACCAAUUGCGAAGGCAGCUGACUACAGGGACAUUGACACUGAGGCACGAAAGCGUGGGGAUCAAACAGG